GUCAGAUUUUGGUCGACCUCGAUAGAUAUUUUUAUAUUGAUUGGGACAGUCAAAUCAAUGAGGUGACAUGAUUUUUGUCUGAAAUCUUUCAAUAUGAUGUCUGGCCUAUUCGCAUCGAUCUUUCUGUCAGUUUGAAUUGUGAAGUUCCAGUGGAGGGAGAUGUGAUCAUUUUCAAGCACUG